CUACAGAAUGUUACGUCUGAUAUUAUUUACGUUGAAUCUGCUUUUCCAAACUACACAUCAAAGAGGAUACAAUAUAUCUCACGUGUUGCAACUCCCAAUCAACUGAGUCGAACUCCUCUAAGAAUUUUUUACUCAUAUUUAUGACUGUGAGAUUCAGGUUAAAGUGUAAAUUUCUGGUCAUUAAAUCAUCACUGCAUACAAUUAUGAGUGUGAACU
rnacentral:lncRNA from 1 species